GUAGGGAAUAUUGGACAAUGGGCGAAAGCCUGAUCCAGCCAUGCCGCGUGAAUGAUGAAGGCCUUCGGGUCGUAAAGUUCUUUUCUGAGGGAAGAAAAAUCUGGGGAGGAAAUGCUCUGGGUCUGACGGUACCUCAGGAAUAAGCAACGGCUAACUCCGUGCCAGCAGCCGCGGUAAUACGGAGGUUGCAAGCGUUGUUCGGAAUAACUGGGCGUAAAGGGAGCGCAGGCGGUCUCGUAAGUCUAAAGUGAAAUGCCAGGGCUCAACCUUGGACGUGCUUUGGAUACUGCGUGACUUGAGUACGUGAGAGGAGAGUGGAAUUCCAGGUGUAGCGGUGAAAUGCGUAGAUAUCUGGAGGAACACCGGUGGCGAAAGCGGCUCUCUGGCACGUUACUGACGCUGAGGCUCGAAAGCGUGGGGAGCGAACGGGAUUAGAUACCCUGGUAGUCC
rnacentral:rRNA from 1 species